GUGAUCAUACCAACACUAAUACACUGGAUCCCAUCAGAACUCCACAUUUAAGCAUGUUUGGGUGAGGGUAGUACUAGGAUGGGUGAUCUCCAGAGAUGUCCUC